GAACAGACUAAGCAGAAACAGCUAUCAAUGAGAAACAAGGAGAUCAUAAAAAAUAAAGGAGCACACACUACAGUAGCAAGAGCUAUGGUAUGGAUAAUAAGGAAGACAUGACUAUCAAGAGCACAAGACAUACAUACCUGCAGCUUCUAGUAAAGCUUCCAGUCUAGCCUGUGUCUCUGGAUCUACCGUCCUGAGGUCUGCACCAUCAGCAGUGCCUGAUAAGAGCAACUUGGAAGCUGUUUCCAGCAUUGGAUUCUCCAAAUCAUCCUGGUCCAAAAUGAAAGACUCCACCUAGAAAAGAAAAAGAAGACAGGAAAGAGGAGAAGAGGACAAAAACAAAACAGAGGAAGACCUGCAAACCCCAAGGCCUCAUGAGCCACCGCUGCAUAAGCCAAGGCUGCCAGAGCAACCAAGAAAAGCACCACAGCACCUGGGAUGAUGGGGAUCCUGAAGGCACGGAUCACCACUGGAUCAACUUCAGCAACCAUCAUGCAGGUUACUCUGGCAAAAUUGGUAUGAGGAUUUACCUUAGGAGCCAGAACUUCUGCCCAACUGCCAACCUUCCCAAACUGUGGACAGUGACCAGGAAAGGGACUCAAGUACAUGCUGUAAAAAACAAGACUGGAACUGUUCCCACUACUGACGUGGGACUAAGGGCUACUACAAAGUUCUGGGGAGGGGAAGGCUCUCCCCAAGCAGCCUAUCACUGCAAAAGCCAAAUUCAUCAGUAUAAGGGCUGAGAAGAAAAUCAAGGAUGUUGGAUGUUGGAGAUGCCUGUAUCCUGGUGGCUUGAAGCCACACAGGGAGGUUUAUUAAAUGCUAACAUUUUUAAGGUCUGAGUAUAGGUUCUUUGGUGAUGGGUCUUACUGACAACAGUCACAGUGUAUGGUGGAUAGA